GGUUGUGGCUGACUCAUUUCAGUUUUGGGAUCACAUAUCAAAGUUCUGGAAUCACAUAUAACAGUAAUUGAUCACCUGUAACUGUGAACAAAAACAAACAAUUGGGGCUAGAAUCUAACUGAUCGACAUGCACGCACUUACCGGUUUGGCUUUUAUCAGUGUUGAGUUUACAUGCAACGUAUCGUACUCGCACGGAUAACAGGGUCGGAUAUUAUUUAUGGAAAAAGGGGCUAGGUACAAAAUAAAUACAUGAGCUUCUUUCCAUAAUUAUCGUCAACAAUGUUAUCAACUACAGAUAAACGUACAGUUAAGUUCACACGCUUCUCACGUCUGCGUUACAUAUCCCCAAUCCCAUAUCUCCUGUGCGUCGAUGUCCCAAAACUUGCAGCGAAUAAACUAACGGCAGACAAAACGUUUAUAUGGUACCAGCAGUAAGGAGACCGUACUUGAGACGUAGUGCGAACGGGGUCGGUCUGUCUGAGAACGGAUUGGACGGACCAGAAACGGACCAGAAACGGACUCGAUCUGUGUGGCAUUGUACAGCUGUUUGACACUUGAUACUGGCAAUUAUCAAAACUGGAAGAUCAUUCGGUAAUAUGGGAUUGACGGGAACGCCACCCAGAAGCUGUUCUGCCAAGGCAAGAGCUGGGCAUCACACAAGCCAUUCUAUCCAGCAAAACUGACAGUUUUGGUUUACAGAAAUCAACAAAGGAGGGAUUACUGAACUAUCAAAAUUUCCAAGCUAUACACACAGUUAUUUAUUACUGUGGUGAUCUUCAUUGGUUCUGUUGGUUUACUUGGAUGGGACAAGUGUGAACUUUUAUAGAACUUUGAAAAGAUUAUAUCUGUCUAUCUAUAAACAAAAUUCAGCUAUGGCAUAAUGAGAUCAGAUGUGCAAACAAUGUCAAUGGGUUGUUAAAUUAACAAUUUGAAGGCAAUUAUGCUGAAAAAAAUAUGAAAGUUCCCAUCCAUAUUUAGUCUGUAUAUCGACAAGUGUCUGCAAAUAAAUGUCAAACUAGUAAUACAAAACUUACCACAAGUAUGUAAAAGCACUAAGUACCUGUUGUGAUCAUUUUUAGUAAGAUAGUGUAAUUCUAAACAGUAGUGUAAUUCUAAACAGUAGCAAAUAGCUUGUUUAGUAAAUGCAUAAUGCAUUUAAUAUGAUUUCUAUUCUAUUGUGUAAUUAAUAAAUUGGUUGUUACUUGUUAACCCAUGAGAAAUGUUUUAUGGCUAGUACAAAAACCAGCAUUGUUAAUUUUGUAAAAGGUAAUAAAAUAACACCACUUUGUAAUUUCAUAUAGGUAAAUAUUCUUGUACUGUAGGUUGAUGACAGUGUUUAAGUAUUACUUAUUUUGUAACUAUUAUUUUAUGUGCAAAUAAAUGAUGUGAAGUGUUUUGUAUCUCCACACAAUACCACAUACCUUUAUAUAUAUAUGUACUGUGUUAUGUGUUAUUUGAAUGUUUUAAUAAAAAAAUAUGGAUGAUAUAACAUGAUGCAUUCUAAUAUUUGCAUUCAAAUUGUAACUAUAGAUCUAAGUGUAUGCAGUUUAGACUGUGAUUUAAGAUUUGCUAUAAAAUGGCUAAUUUUUUAGUGGCGACAAAAUUUAAACUAUUCAACAAUAGUUUGCGAAAGAAAAUUAGAAACCUGCAAGAUACCUUUAUUAAAU